rnacentral:rRNA from 1 species
GAUAAACGCUGGCGGCGUGCCUUAUGCAUGCAAGUCGAACGGUUCUGAUUUAUCAGAGCCGUGGCGAACGGGUGAGUAACGCGUAAGUAACCUGCCCCUAAGUAGGGAAUAACCCUGAGAAAUCGGGGCUAAUACCUUAGUGUUGGUGAGGGUAACGCUUCAUCAAUAAAGCCUUCGGGCGCUUGGGGAGAGGGCGCUUGCGUCCGAUUAGCUAGUUGGUAGGGUAACGGUCUACCAAGGCGAUGAUCGGUAGCUGGUUUAAGAGGAUGGUCAGCCACAUUGGGACUGAGAUACGGCCCAGACUCCUACGGGAGGCAGCAGCAAGGAAUAUUGUGCAAUGGGCGAAAGCCUGACACAGCGACGCCGCGUGGGGGAAGAAGGCCUUCGGGUCGUAAACCCCUUUUCUCAGGGAAGAAUAAUGACGGUACCUGAGGAAUAAGUCUCGGCUAACUACGUGCCAGCAGCCGCGGUAAUACGUAGGAGGCAAGCGUUAUCCGGAUUUAUUGGGCGUAAAGAGGGCGUAGGCGGCCUUUCAAGUCAGAUGUAAAAUCUCCCGGCUUAACUGGGAGGGACCAUGUGAUACUGUUAGGCUAGAGGGCAGCAGAGGGAGGUGGAAUUCCCGGAGUAGUGGUGAAAUGCGUAGAUAUCGGGAGGAACACCAGUGGCGAAGGCGGCCUCCUGGGCUGUUGCUGACGCUGAGGCCCGAAAGCGUGGGGAGCAAACAGGAUUAGAUACCCUGGUAGUCCACGCCGUAAAUGAUGGACACUAGGUAUGGGGAGUAUCGACCCUCUCUGUGCCGGAGUUAACGCGUUAAGUGUCCCGCCUGGGGACACGGCCGCAAGGCU